AUGCACCUACAAGGGGAGCACCGCACAUGGGAAUCUGGGUCGUGUAGCUCUAGCUCUCACCACUUUGCUGGAAUCUGCUCUCCUUUUACAAUGAGCAGCACGAGCCUAGUACAAAGGAAGAGUAUGAGUAACACAUCACACAUCGCAGACGAGACCGAUCGAUUAGCCAGGAGCUUAAAUAUCUUAUCUUGGCGGGGUAACUGUGGAGGCACAGUGAACGUACUGCCCCCAAGAUCCUGGAUUGCGCUGUCUUUCCUCUCUCAAUCACUCACGCUCCCCAACAAAAAGAAAAUAAUUCAGGUAGCUUGCCCUUGGCGUACUAAAAAUCGUUAUCAUGCAUGUCACUCGUCACCAUGGGUUCAGAGCAGCAACUUGCGAGCCCUCGCAUGGCCGUGGGCAUGUACAUUGUACGAAAGCUGUACCGUGCACUGUACGACUCCGGCUUGCUGGCCAUGGCGUUGGUUGGUGGUGCAGUGCGGUGGGGGUCACAGCCGGAUCGCCCGUCACCGGGACAGGGAGAAGGCACACUUGGAUGCCAGAGGCGCGAGGGGAUUGACGGCUCGACGCGAUGGACUUGAUGCACCAGCCGGAGCCUUGGGGUCGCCCCGGGUUAAAAUUUCUGUGCGCGCCAACCCCACGGCGUCAAGUGCACGCUCCGUUGGGCUGUGGAGACUGGAUGCAAGUUGUAAAUUUCAACCCCAGCGGCAGCAUUCCAACUUCCAAGGAAUGGCAUAUUGGUGGGAGGGGAUAGGAGGUCCAGCGUGCAGGAUGAGCGUGAUCUGUGCUGAAAGGGAAGGCGGGGAUGGACGGGCCACCAGCCUUGCUAGUUUUGGAUAUGCAUGCACUGCGCCUUCGCUGCUCCCCCCUCGCCGCCACCAGAGUAGGUCUCCGGGCAAGCCAGGGCGGCCGACGAGGACGGUGGCGGCGAGGAUCUGCUGCUCCGCCUCCGUGCGGAGAGCCUCGGACGCCGAGGCGGCGGCCUCGGAAGGAGAGGCGAUGGCUGGCUCUCCGGCGAGCAGUGGUCGCGGGUGCUGCUCCGCCCCCUCGGCCGCGCGGGCGGCGUGGUGGCGGCGGUCGUUUGGUGGCUGGUCUUCGCGUGCGGUCUUCUCCGGCGGUCGGCGCCAGAUCUGCAGGUCUUUCCCUCCCCCUCUCAUAGCUCCUUCCACCCCGGCACUGCUGGUCCUUGGCGGUCCCUGGUCGCCGGAUCUGGCGCGUUUGGGAUGCGGGAGUGGCGGCAGUCCGGGAGAAAUCCUUGGCCGGUGUGGCCCGGCCACGACGGUGACGACAUCAGUUGCUGUCGUGCCCCUCCCUGGAGGCUCCGUCGAGGUUCUGUUCCCCUCUCCCCCUCUCGCACUAGGUGAAAACCUCAUCCUUUUGGAUGGGGCGGCAGCGGCGCUCUACGCCGUCACCUUCCUGGAGGUGCCGCUCAGCACCUUCGAUCUUGAUAGCUUCAUCCCUUCGUGUGUGGCUCUAUGCGUGUGGGCGAGGAUCUUCCAAGGCGAGCUCGUCUCAGCUGGGGGCGGGGCUGAGUAUCUCCCAAGGUUGUUCGUGGCUGCCAUCUUAUCUGGCUCUAGGGUGAGCUUCCCCAUCUUCCGACGGUACGACGUCCUUCGAGCCAGGACGGGGGGCAGGGGUCCUCUUCGGAGAUGGUUUCGGGUAGUUUGUUGCAGCUCACCACUCCUGGUGCAGAUGAGGGCAUGCUCCCUGCCUAUGAUGGGUCUCAUCUUGUUAGUGCUUCCGCUCCACCUCUGGUGCUCAUUCUGCGGCUGGGGCAUAACACCACAACAACAUUUUGAUGGAAGGCUUCAUCUCGGCGGCGCCAUGGCGGCGAGGUCGAGGUAUCCGUGGGAGUUUGUUUUCUGUCGUUCUAGUGGUGUGGUGGAUCUGGUGUCCCUUGGUGGACUGAAGUAUGGUGUCCGCGAGUGGUGGCUCCGGUCCUAUGCCUUGGUAACAUCGACGGUAGGCGACAGUUCUAGGAGGCGAGGAGUAUGGGGACAUUCCCCGGUCAACGUGCCACAAAGAAUUUGGCUCCGCCGGUGGCGGGCCUCUCCAUCGACUCACAAGCUCUUUCGGGCAAUGGUGCUCUAUCAACUCCAACAAUGGAUUGCAGCAAGAAUAGCGGUUGUAUUGAUCCUGAACAGGUUGACACACGGCUUUCAUUGUGUGCGCGCUCUUGAGGACAUCUCCAAAGUGGAGCAUCUAUUGGACAACAUCAAAUGCCCGUGGACGCGUCUGACCAUUUCCGUGGACAGUAGAUGGAUAGCCGACCAUCCAAUCGUGGACACCAAUAGCAUCGCCUCCGAGGCCAUCAACACCUCCGCCAUCGUCCACUCUGUCAUCCGAGUCACCUUUGUUGAUGUGCCUAUGGUGGAAUACCCGCCAGGCUUUGCGGUAUCCCAGCCCUGCAACCGCGGCGAACUCGUGCUUGAGGCACUCCGCCGCAUUGUCCAACGCCUUGCGCCGCUUGUCUUCGACGACGUUGGCAGCUCGAAUGAAGGCGACAUGCUCGAACUCCACUACCUUCGUGGGCACCGGGUCAACGAGCAACCAUGCCGACACCACCCGGGGCUACCUGAACACUGGUCGGCGUUGCACAUUGCAUCACCCUUGGUGUUCUGCCUCCGAGAGGCACUCCUCGCUGUUGAGGAGGAUGCGCCACCGACUCCGGUGCUUGGGUCAAAGUGGCAAUGGUCUUAUUCUGAUAACACCUGGCUUAUUCUGCACAUCACCCACCCGAGCGUCGCUGCCCCUCCCCUCCCCGUCUUCUUCUGUGGGAGCGGCCUGGGAGCGUCACCGCCCCUUCCCUUCCCUCCCCGUCUUCUUCUGCGGGAGCGGCCUGGGAGCGCCGCCGCCCCUCCACUCCCCGCCUUCUUCCGCGGCAGCGGCCUGGGAGUGCCGCCGCCCCUCCCGUCCCCGCCUUCUUCUGCGGUAGUGGCAUGCGACCGCCGCCUCCCCUCCCCUUCCCGCCUUCUUCCGCGACAGCGGCCUCGGAGCGAUACCGCCCCUCCCCUCCCUGCUUUCUCCGGCGGUGGUAGCCUGGGAGCGCUGCCGCCCCUCCCUUUCGAGCCUUCUCCAGCGGCCAUGGCCGGGAGCCACGCCGCCCCUCCCCUCGCAGCCUUAUUUCACGGUAGCGGCCAAGCAGCACCGCCGCCCAUCGCCUCUCGGCCUUCUCCAGCGGCAGCAACUGAGCAGCGUCAUUCGCAUAUCGGCCUUCUUCCACGGCAGUAUCUUGUUAGCGUCGCCACUAAUCUCCUCCGGGCCUUCUUCCACGGCGUUGAGCGGUGCGUCAUUAAGUACCUCUCCUUCAUCACAUGUGGAUUGGGAAAGUGGACUGCACGGGUGAACGCAAAAGUGGUGCAGAUGGACGAGAAGGGAGCUUCCUCCCGCAAACUCAAGAAAGCACUACAACACGAGGAAAUGACGCUCAACAGAUUCAAAAUGCCGCGCAUAAUUGACAAUCCAGGAACCAUCAACUUUCAGAAGAGUCAAGCUUCUUCCAGAAGAGACACUGGCUGGGUUACCCCUAAGGUUCCUCGAGGAUUCUUCAUGACAACAAACAGGGUGCAAUACUCUCUGGAAGAAGAUUUUUUCAAGGAAGAAGAGGAUGACGAAGAUGAUGACAAUGAAGAUGAUCCAAUAACAAUUCUCAACCCAGAGUACAAGAACGAGUUCACUACAUUUGGACAGCAUGUCCGAACAGACAACAAUGAUGCUGUUGACCAUGAUGUUGCAGAAGAUGAUGAUUAUGAUGAUGUGCCGCUGCUCCAACAAUUUCAAACAAAUCCAAUGAGACAUCACCACAACACUGGAUUACCACCGCAUCCACCUGCUGCACCACAAAACAGAGCUCAGCGUGCACAUGCUGCACCGAAAAACAAACAUCCGAGUGGACCUGCUGCACCAAAAAACAGAGCUCCGAGUGGACCUACUGCAUCAACUUUAACACUGCGACUACCAAGGGUGCCUCAAUCCAAAGUCAAUGGCAGGAGGUACAAGUCCUACUCACUAUUGCCACCGCCAGAUCCUCAACUACACAUAUCUGCUAUAACCCCACCAUGUCCAAUACAACCCGGCGAGCUGCAAACGCCAUCGGAUGAACGGCAUUACACACAUUAUAAAAACAUGCCGCUGAACCUCAUUCCUGUCGCUGGAAUGAAGUUCAGCAUGAAACAGAAGUUUGCUAGAGAAGAGUCUGAAGAUGACGUCAAGAAACUUCUGGAUUUCUUCGACAAGAUGCAGAAGAUCAACCUAGAGUUCUUCUAUGAUUAUGACAUCGAUGCAGAUAACGGUAAAUACAAAGACCACCUCACCUUGUUGUAUAAGGCGCACGAGAAACUCAAGGAUGAACUCACUGCGGUGCUGAACCACCCACUAAUGCAGUCAGAAUUUGAACGAGCAUGGAAGGACCUCAUGCAGAAAUACAACUUGCAAAACGACGAAAUGAUGAAUUCCCUGUGGGAUGACAGGCACGAGUGGAUCUCGGCUUACUAA
rnacentral:rRNA from 1 species